rnacentral:rRNA from 1 species
UACGAAGGGGGCUAGCGUUGCUCGGAAUCACUGGGCGUAAAGGGUGCGCAGGCGGGUCUUUAAGUCAGGGGUGAAAUCCUGGAGCUCAACUCCAGAACUGCCUUUGAUACUGAAGAUCUUGAGUCCGGGAGAGGUGAGUGGAACUGCGAGUGUAGAGGUGAAAUUCGUAGAUAUUCGCAAGAACACCAGUGGCGAAGGCGGCUCACUGGCCCGGUACUGACGCUGAGGCACGAAAGCGUGGGGAGCAAACAGG